AUCCCUUUUUCUUGCUCUUAAUAUUUCUUUCAUUUUCUCAGAAUACCUGUAUUUCCAAAAUUAAUAAAGAAAAAACAUGCUGACUUACACUUCUGUAGUUACCCACCCAUGACUGAGGCCCCAAAGAUAGCAAAUGUUCCACUUGGUUUUAUCAUUCUGCUUAUCAUGGUGAUGUCAGAAUCUGUUUUCCUUCAGAACAUUACCAACUUGAUAAGUAUUCAGACUAAGCUUGCGAUUACUAUCAAAUGUUAACAGGCUGAACAUAGCUUCCAGUUUAAUUAAUAAUUUAAUGCUCUCAUUUUUUCAAUGGCUAAUGUCAUAAGAUAGCCCCUUUAGAUUAAAAAUCAUAUCCUUAUGAAUCUUGGUUUUAUUUCAAGAUAUGAGAGAGUUCAGAGUAGAUGAGGGUGAGAAAGCCAGAGGUUUCUCUCAAGCUCAGAUACAAAGCUGUCCAGCUGUGCUUCAGCUGUUGUUCUUGAUAGGCUUUUUUGAUGUUACUUUUCAUAUUUAGUUUACGAUCUUUCCUUGGCUUAAAUUAUUACGUACAGUUGAACAAGAUUGGCAUUUUCACAUAGUAUGGAGUGUUAAUUUGGUGGAAUAAAAGCCAUUUAAAACAGUAAACUAAACUCUUUCUGAAACUAGUCUUGCUGCCUGGUGGAUGCUUGGAGGCGGAACAAGGGUGUGAGGGACAAGGAACAGAGUUGUUCCUCAUUGUCCCUUCAUUGCAUCUUUCUUGAGGAGAGGAAGAAAAAGGUGUGCAGGACUCAGUGUCCUGGGUUGGAAACUAUGCAGAUAGUCUGGAUACAGUCCAGUGCUGUUGGAUGUGAAAAAAGGAAGUUUUAAGGUGCCAAAGGAAGAGAGAUUUAGUCUUGGCUUUUAGAAUAGUGAAAAUCCUUGCAUGGCCAACUCGUUUGAAGAUACUAAUUGCUUAGGAGGUAGCUCUCCUGGCUGUUCACCCAGCAGACCCAGGGUUUUGUCCUAAUGAUAAGCAGAGUGAACUUGUCCUUCAAUACUAGCUCAUGUAAAUCUGUCUAGCACUGUGUACACCUCUCUAGCACUGUGUACACCUCUCUAGCACUAUGUACAGCCCUCUGCAUGAGGUCCCCUAUUCAAAAGCUUUCUGUGUUCCUUGCCUUGAUAACAUUUACCAUGUACAAGGUAAUGUUAGCUUAAUGCAGAGUUGCUGUUUAAAGUCAGUUUUAUAUAUAUAUUUGUACUGAGAUAAUUUCAGCCAAUAUAGUCUUAAAGCAUGGGUUUGUGCUUUCCUUUGUUUAUGUAACCAUCUCUCAUCGCCCAGAAACUAGCUUUUACUGGCUCCAUUCAAUACUCAUCCAUUUCAGUUGUUCACAUCCUAGUUAGAAUUUUAUUUGUCUUGCAGGUCUAGGCUUGCAGUUACAAACUAUUGAUGGGCUUCUGACAGGGUUGUCAUUUGGAGAAGGUUUAGGGUUUUGAUCAGUAUUUUUUGCAUGCUUGGUUAGUAUGGUGUUUGGAUUCAGUUAUUUUGCUCACAGUCUUUUUCAUCGUGCUCCAUAUUCUAUGUUGUCAUUGGAGUGGUGUGAGUUGUGACACUCCAGAGUUUGUCCAUCAUUUGUGAUUUUUUUCAGAUGGCUACUGGAUCUGUCAUCAUUGGAAUAUUACUUGGCAUCUGCUUAGGACAAGUCCUGUUUUUCAGUUUGUUUAAUUUUUCUCUAAUAGAUUUUAAUUUUUUUAAAUUAUGCAUGUGCAUAAAACAGUCUUCCUUUGAUUUUUCUUAGUUGCUUCCCCCAUCCUUCUUUUGGUUUCCUUUACCUGGUAUUUUCUCUUAGCUACAGAUUGGAAAGCAUGUUCCCAAAGCUCUGUUUGAUUGAAUGUUUUGCUCUUGGCAGGUUGUGUGACUUGUUUGAGGAUAAACACUUAUUUUUGCAAGGUAUCACAAGGUAGUUUAUAGCUUGCUUUUUAUCACAUUCAGGGGGAAAAGUUAGUAUUAGGUUUGUUUAAGCAUUGAGGACUGUUCUGAAUGGGAAUGGUGGACCAUAGUCCCUGAGACCAAACAUAAUGUUUAGUUUGCUUUGGCUACAGGCUUUUCUUGUCAGUUAUGCUUAAAAAUGCUGCUUCUUAGAAGAAAGCUUUAAAAAAAAAUAAA